rnacentral:rRNA from 1 species
GUGUCAGCAGCCGCGGUAAUACGUAGGUGGCAAGCGUUGUCCGGAUUUAUUGGGCGUAAAGAGCGCGCAGGCGGCUAUGUAAGUCUGGUGUUAAAGCCCGGGGCUCAACCCCGGUUCGCAUCGGAAACUGCGUAGCUUGAGUGCAGAAGAGGAAAGCGGUAUUCCACGUGUAGCGGUGAAAUGCGUAGAGAUGUGGAGGAACACCAGUGGCGAAGGCGGCUUUCUGGUCUGUAACUGACGCUGAGGCGCGAAAGCGUGGGGAGCAAACAGGAUUAGAUACCCCUGUAGUCC